rnacentral:rRNA from 1 species
AGAUUGAACGCUGGCGGCAUGCCUUACACAUGCAAGUCGAACGGUAACAGGUCUUCGGAUGCUGACGAGUGGCGAACGGGUGAGUAAUACAUCGGAACGUGCCCGAUCGUGGGGGAUAACGGAGCGAAAGCUUUGCUAAUACCGCAUACGAUCUACGGAUGAAAGCAGGGGACCGCAAGGCCUUGCGCGGACGGAGCGGCCGAUGGCAGAUUAGGUAGUUGGUGGGAUAAAAGCUUACCAAGCCGACGAUCUGUAGCUGGUCUGAGAGGACGACCAGCCACACUGGGACUGAGACACGGCCCAGACUCCUACGGGAGGCAGCAGUGGGGAAUUUGGACAAUGGGCGAAAGCCUGAUCCAGCCAUGCCGCGUGCAGGAUGAAGGCCUUCGGUUGUAAACUGCUUUGUACGGAACGAAAGACUCCUUCUAAUACAGGGUCCAGUGACGGUACCGUAAGAAUAAGCAACCGGCUAACUACGUGCCAGCAGCCG